CACGUAGGGGGCGAGCGUUGUCCGGAAUUAUUGGGCGUAAAGCGUGCGCAGGCGGUUGUGCAAGACAGAUGUGAAAUCCCCGGGCUUAACCUGGGAAUUGCAUUUGUGACUGCACGGCUAGAGUGUGUCAGUGGGGGGUAGAAUUCCACGUGUAGCAGUGAAAUGCGUAGAGAUGUGGAGGAACACCGAUGGCGAAGGCAGCCUACUGGGACAACACUGACGCUCAUGCACGAAAGCGUGGGGAGCAAACAGG
rnacentral:rRNA from 1 species